UGCCAGAAUACCACUCAGGCUUCCUAGAGGUUGUUACAUUGCAGAUGGAUACUAUAUACUUAUGAAUGAUUGACGUUGACUGACAUUUUCUUGAACAUAACCCCUGUCCCUAUAUCUAGGUUGGAAUAAAUGUUGGGAAAAAUGUUUGUUGGAUGCGACAGAAUCCCUCGCAGUGCAACCAAGUGGCUGCAGGAGGGAAAGAGAACGGCCUGAAGGCCUGGGAUCCGGAGAGACCUGGAACACCGGUCUUCACAUCCAAGAAUGUGCGUAAUGACUGGCUGGACCUGCGGGUGCCAGAGUGGGUUCGAGACAUGGCCUUCAUCGCAGACUCAGACAAGAUAGACACCUGCACAGGUCAACACCAGGUGUGAGUAUGAUCCAGCCUCUCCCCAGAGGCGUCCUGUUCUAGAGGCAGUUUGGGGAGUACCCCCCCCACAGCCCUCUCCCUCCCUGCCAGCCAAGACAGUGUUACAGUGGGCAACACGCAUGACCAACUCGCCAUCUUCCGCAGGCCUAGAGUGUGUGGGUGUUUUAAAGGGGCUGGCAGGAGGGGUGUGGGGGCUUCAGUCCCACCCUUCUCUCCCUCUGGUGGGUUCUUGUGGUUUGGAUCACUUUGAGGGUACACAGCCUGGAGGACCGCUCUCUACGGAACAAGGUGUAUAUGAAGUCACGACUCAACUGUGUGCUUCUGUCCAACAGAGAUCUCGAGUACAGGAGUGAACGGAGAUGUGGAGGAAGUAAAAGAAGAUGGAGGAGAACUGGAUGAGGUGUGGAACACAAUGGGGAUGAUAAAAGAGAAGGCGAAGAAAAGAGCAACAGAAGAAUAGGAAGCUGUUGUUGAAGAAGCAGAGAAGAGGAAGCUGUUGUUGAAGAAGCAGAGAAGAGGAGGCUGUUGUUGAAGAAGCAGAGAAGAGGAGGCUGUUGUUGAAGAAGCAGAGAAGAGGAAGCUGUUGUUGAAGAAGCAGAGAAGAGGAAGCUGUUGUUGAAGAAGCAGAGAAGAGGAAGAUGUUGAAGAAGCAGAGAAGAAGACUAAGAAGAGGCAUCAAACACUAUUUAUUUCUGAAACAUAUUAUACCCUUAUAUUAAACUAAAUAUGGCUGAUACCGCAGUAGACACGACCACAACCACCGAGAUUUCAGAAAAGGAGCUCAAAGAGAGGAAAGAGGAGGUGGAGUAGAAGGAGAAUGGCAGUCGGGACGCACCAGCCAACAGCAAUGGAACACACACAAAUGGUGCAGAGAAGAAGACCAAUUGUGCAGAUGAUUCUGAAGAAACCCCUGAGGGUGAGAAGGAAGAGGAGGAUGGAGAGGGACUGGAUGCAGCUAAGGAUGCAGAAUAAGCUGUGAUGAGGAGGUUGACCACCCUGUGAAGCGUCCAGCUGAUGAGGAGGUUGACCACCCUGUGAAGCGCCCAACUGAUGAGGUUGCCCAGCCUGUGAAGCACCCAGCUGAUGAGGUUAACCACCCUGUGAAGCGCCCAGCUGAUGAGGUUAACCACCCUGUGAAGCGCCCAGCUGAUGAGGAGGUUAACCACCCUGUGAAGCGCCCAGCUGAUGAGGAGGAACAAGUGGAAAGAAAAAAACAGAAAACGGUGAAUCAAAGGAAGCUGAAGUGAAGACAUAAUGUGCGGAGUAUGUACUCCUCCGCAACGCUGUCUACAUGGCGUGUUCAACUUCACCUUGAAGAGCUUGUGCUUUAUGUAUGCUUUAAAUAAUGGCACCGGGGGGGUGGCUGCCAUUUUACGGGCUCCUAACCAACUGUGCUAUUUUGUUGUUUCUAACUUAUUUUUUUACUUAUUUUGUACAUAUUGUUGCUGCUACCGUCUUUUUUGACCGAAAACAGCUUCUAGAACAGUGAUUACUCACCUCGAACUGGACAAAGACUUUUUCUUUAACGAAUCCGACGCAGAGGAUAUACUGCAUUCUCGAGACCAGGCCCAAACCCUGUCAUUUGCGAGAAGAAAAGACGGAGAUAAAGGGGGUGGAGGUCGGGCUUCCUUCUGAGAAUUCGUAGGCGAGUGAGUAAACUUCCACUACCAUUCGUACUAUUGGCCAACGUGCAAUCACUGGAAAAUAAAGUGGAUGAUCUACGAUUUAAGAAUAUCCUACCAACGUGACAUUAAAAACUGUACUAUCUUAUGUUUCACCAAGUCGUGGCUGAACGACGACAAGGAUACUAUAGAGCUGGCUGGGUAUUCCG